UACGAAGGGGGGCUAGCGUUGCUCGGAAUCACUGGGCGUAAAGGGCGCGUAGGCGGCCGAUUAAGUCGGGGGUGAAAGCCUGUGGCUCAACCACAGAAUUGCCUUCGAUACUGGUUGGCUUGAGACCGGAAGAGGACAGCGGAACUGCGAGUGUAGAGGUGAAAUUCGUAGAUAUUCGCAAGAACACCAGUGGCGAAGGCGGCUGUCUGGUCCGGUUCUGACGCUGAGGCGCGAAAAGCGUGGGGAGCAAACAGG
rnacentral:rRNA from 1 species